AAAAACAACUGAUGUGCUAAUUGAAUUUAUUUAUGAUCUCAAUGGCACAAUGCAGACUUCAAGUUUCCAUUAGUUUGCUAAGGUUCCAACCUAGAAUAGAAGUUAACUGAGUAUUGGUCCGUUCGGAUACAUCCCUACAAGCUCACAGCUGCUACAAUAAACAAAAGGGCAAUGCAUUGCAGACUGGUAAACUACAGGUUCACAAGGGCACAACAUCCAAUGGCACAAUGGCACAGAACACUCCUUAGUAAGUUGUGCAUGGAUCUGCUGUAGGUAAUCCAUUACAGGCAGCACUACUUUCAACUUCAGUCUAUGUUACUUCCAACAGCUGUUCUGUGCUAACUUUUGCCGCACUAAAUGCGAUAAAAACAGCUCAGAGCACAUGCAUUCUCUAAAUAGGAUAAAAACUAUGUAAAUGUGCAACACCUGCCAGGAAAAAGUAUGUAAAGAAUCUACCAUUCCCCUUUAGAGACAGCAACUGCCACCCAUGUCACAAAUAUUUAUAAGCUGGGAACAUCUCAAGUUCUUUGCAGCAAUGAUAAACUGCAAAGCACAUCUUCAGUUCUUUAUAUAUUUGUACAGUAAUGCCCAGAAACACAAGGAACAUACUACAAAUGCAACUAGUUCAACAGGCUAAAGCAUAGAUGCAUGGGAGUAUUCGGAAAAUAGAUCAAACGCUAAUUCCAUACCCUGUUGUAAGCCCAUGCCGCAUCAUACAUCAGCUCUUCAAACCACUUCUUGCCUAGUACAUGGUAUUGCAAAAUUAACAAAGCUUACAGAGAAUAGGGAUGCAUGCUAAUAUGAUCAUGGUCCAAUUGCAGGAGCUAAAUUCACUAAUUCAGAAGCUGUCAAAAUUUGGACAAACAUUUACUACAGCCAGAAAUUAAGCACCACAUUGCGUUGCUAGGAAGUAAUAAUAAUACAAGAGAAGAACAAGUGGACACACGGACAAAAGAUAGCAUCAAGCACACUAUGUGUAACAUUGGUAAAGUUUCUCUGUAGGUCGAGCUACACGGAACCUCUUAUCUCCAUCCCUCCAACAUUGCUUUGAGAUCCGUAUUCGUCAACUAACUUACAGCAAGAAGAUUUCUCUUUUUUGUUUCUCUCAAAUGAAAGAACAUAUGGGCUUCAAACUUUGCAGAUCAAACCAAAUUUAGAACUUCAAUGUGUGAAAAAACUUUCAGAUUUUUUGGACUGACAUAAAUAUACAAAACGAGGAUUUUUUGCACUUAAAAUGCAUGAAAAAAUCUGAAAGUUUUUUUCGCACAUAGUAAUUAGAAUGUUUUGUUGUCCUGCAAAGUUUGAAGUUUAUACGUUGUUUCGUUUGAGAAAAACAAAAAUGACAAAUGUGCCUGCAUGGAUCAUGAUGCAAAAAUGGAUGGCUAAGAUAAAGGGUACCACGUAGCUCAAGCUACACAAAACCACACUCGUGUAACAUUAGGUUGAUACCAAGUACGUACUAAUCAAGAUACCAAACAGUAGUUGCACUACAGGUGAUCUAACCUUGAAUCAACCUGUUUCUUAACCGUGACAAGGCAAGGCAUGUCAACAACAACAACAAAGCCUUUAGUCCCAAACAAGUUGGGGUAGGCUAGAGGUGAAACCCAUAAGAUCUCGCAACCAACUCAUGGCUCUGGCACAUGGAUAGCAAGCUUCCACGCACCCCUGUCCAUAGCUAGCUCUUUGUCGAUACUCCAAUCCUUGAGGUCUCUCUUAACGGACUCCUCCCAUGUCAAAAUCGGUCGACCCCGCCCUCUCUUGACAUUCUCCGCACGCUUUAGCCGUCUGCUAUGCACUGGAGCUUCUGGAGGCCUGCGCUGAAUAUGCCCAAACCAUCUCAAACGAUGUUGGACAAGCUUCUCCUCAAUUGGUGCUACCCCAACUCUAUCUCGUAUAUCAUCAUACCGGACUCGAUCCUUCCUUGUGUGGCCACACAUCCAUCUCAACAUACGCAUCUCCGCCACACCUAACUGUUGAACAUGUCGCCUUUUAGUCGGCCAACACUCCGCGCCAUACAACAUUGCGGGUCGAACCGCCGUCCUGUAGAACUUGCCUUUUAGCUUUUGUGGCACUCUCUUGUCACAGAGAAUGCCAGAAGCUUGGCGCCACUUCAUCCAUCCGGCUUUGAUUCGAUGGUUCACAUCUUCAUCAAUACCCCCAUCCUCCUGCAACAUUGACCCCAAAUACCGAAAGGUGUCCUUCCGAGGUACCACCCGGCCAUCAAGGCUAACCUCCUCCUCCUCACAGCUAGUAGUACUGAAACCGCACAUCAUGUACUCGGUUUUAGUUCUACUAAGCCUAAACCCUUUCGAUUCCAAGGUUUGUCUCCAUAACUCUAACUUCCUAUUUACCCCCGUCCGACUAUCGUCAACUAGCACCACAUCAUCCGCAAAGAGCAUACACCAUGGGAUAUCUCCUUGUAUACCCCUUGUGACCUCAUCCAUCAUCAAUGCAAAAAGAUAAGGGCUCAAAGCUGACCCCUGAUGCAGUCCUAUCUUAAUCGGGAAGUCAUCGGUGUCGACAUCACUUGUUCGAACACUUGUCACAACAUUAUUAUACAUGUCCUUGAUGAGGGUAAUGUACUUUGCUGGGACUUUGUGUUUCUCUAAGGCCCACCACAUGACAUUCCGCGGUAUCUUAUCAUAGGCCUUCUCCAAGUCAAUGAACACCAUAUGCAAGUCCUUCUUAUGCUCCCUAUAUCUUCUCCAAGGCAAGGCAUGUCCAAAAUAACAAAAAAAAAAAGAAGUAGCAGUUGCUUCGCAGAAGCAUAGCCUUGUCGGUUGGCCAUCGAGAUCACUAUCCCCAG
rnacentral:lncRNA from 1 species